AUACGUAGGGAGCGAGCGUUGUCCGGAAUUACUGGGUGAAAAGGGAGCGUAGGCGGGACUGCAAGUCAGAUGUGAAAUACCGGGGCUUAACCCCGGAGCUGCAUUUGAAACUGUGGGUCUUGAGUGAAGUAGAGGCAAGCGGAAUUCCUGGUGUAGCGGUGAAAUGCGUAGAUAUCAGGAGGAACACCGGUGGCGAAGGCGGCUUGCUGGGCUUUUACUGACGCUGAGGCUCGAAAGCGUGGGUAGCAAACAGGAUUAGAUACCCUGGUAGUCCACGCUGUAAACGAUGAUUACUAGGUGUGGGGGGACUGACCCCUUCCGUGCCGCAGUUAACACAAUAAGUAAUCCACCUGGGGAGUACGGCCGCAAGGUUGAAACUCAAAGGAAUUGACGGGG
rnacentral:rRNA from 1 species